CGGUCAGGGCGCCGGGGCGGGCUCGGCGUCCGGCUCCGGCUCGGACUCGGGUUCCGGCUCGGGUUCCGGCUCCGACCAGUCCGGC
rnacentral:tRNA from 1 species